UCCUAGCUGUAAACGAUCUGUACUAGUCUGUGGGGACUUCCACAUCCUCUCGGACGUAGCGAAAGUGUUAAGUACAGCGCCUGGGGAGUAUGGUCGCAAGGCUGAAACUCAAAGGAAUUGACGGGGGCUCACACAAGCGGUGGAGGAUGUGGCUUAAUUCGAGGAUACGCGAAGAACCUUACCUAGACUUAACAUGCUUGGGAAUUUCUGUGAAAGCAGAAAGUGCCGUUUCGGGGAGCCCUUGCGUAGGUGCUGCAUGGCUGUCGUCAGCUCGUGUCGUGAGAUUGGUUACGGGUUAACGUCCCGUUAACGACGACCGUAAAACCC
rnacentral:rRNA from 1 species